UGGGGCUUGAAGGAUCCUGGUUUAGGCACUGGAUGGAUCUAAACUUUAUGUGCGAUGAACUAGCUAGGAAGUGAGCCGCCGCCGCCUCGUAGAACAGAGAAGGAUGUCGGGCAUGGCGAGGGAAAAUCUAGUGCGGAUUGAAGAGAUACAAGGGAGAGGAAGAGCUAUCGUGUCCUCUCAGCCGCUGAGGGGCGGUGAAAUUGUGCUCAGGGAUUCUCCAAUCCUCCUCUACUCUGCUUUUCCUCUCAAUGGACAACAACUGCAAUUCUCAACCUCAAUUUAUUGCGAUAACUGCUUCAGAAAGUUACAAUCAGCAUCGGCACCCUUAUCUUGCCCAUCUUGCUCUCAACAUCGUUUCUGUAGCCCAAAUUGCCUUUCGGUUUCAAUUGCCUCGUCCC
rnacentral:misc_RNA from 1 species